rnacentral:lncRNA from 10 species
UGUGUUUCUUUGUUUGUUUUUACCAACUCCUCCCCUCCCCUACCUCCAGGAAAAGGCUGUUCAUGCUGGGUGAGCUCUAAGUCAUGUCAGUAUAGAUAGCUUUGCAAGUGGGGUCUUCCAUGAAAUUACCAGGUUCAUUGGUAUAUGUGCAGACUUUUUCUAUAGGUAAAUUGCUUGCUGUGGGAGUUUGGUGUACAGACUUUCAUCACCCAGGAUUAUUUUCAGGAUUGAAAUGAAAAAGCCAAAAUUGACAAAUGGGAUCGAAUUAAACUAAAGAGCUUCUGCAUAGCAAAAGAAACCACCAUCAGAGUGAACAGGCAACCUACAGAAUGGGAGAAAAUUUUUGCAAUCUACUCAUCUGACAAAGGGCUAAUAUCCAGAAUGUACAAACAACUCAAACAAAUUUACAAGAAAAAAACAAACAACCACAUCAAAAAGUGGGCGAACGAUAUGAACAGACACUUCUCAAAAGAAGACAUUUAUGCAGCCAACAGCACAGGAAAAAAUGCUCAUCAUCACUGGCCAUCAGAGAAAUGCAAAUCAAAACCACAAUGAGAUACCAUCUCACACCAGUUAGAAUGGUGAUCAUUAAAAAGUCAGGAAACAACAGAUGCUGGAGAGGAUGUGGAGAAAUAGGAAUGCUUUUACACUGUUGGUGGAAGUGGAAAUUAGUUCAGCCAUUGUGGAAGACAGUGUGGCGAUUCCUCAAGGAUCUAGAACUAGAAAUACCAUUUGACCCAGCCAUCCCAUUACUGGGGUAUAUACCCAAAGGAUUAUAAAUCCUGCUGCUAUAAAGACACAUGCACAUGUAUGUUUAUUGCGGCACUAUUCACAAUAGCAAAGACUUGGAACCAACCCAAAUGUCCAACAAUGAUAGACUGGAUUAAGAAAAUGUGGCACAUAUACACCACGGAAUACUAUGCAGCCAUAAAAAAGGAUGAGCUCAUGUCCUUUGUAGGGACAUGGAUGAAGCUGGAAACCACCAUUCUCAGCAAACUAUCGCAAGGACAAAAAACCAAACACCACGUGUUCUCACUCAUAGGUGGGAAUCGAACAAUGAGAACACAUGGACACAGGAAGGGGAACAUCACACACCGGGGCCUGUUGUGGGGUGAGGGGAAGGGGGAGGGAUAGCAGUAGGAGAUAUACCUAAUGUAAAUGACGAGUUAAUAGGUGCAGCACACCAACGUGGCACAUGUAUACAUAUGUAACAAACCUGCACGUUGUGCACAUGUACCCUAGAAAUAUAUGAACAAAUAAAAGAAAUGAAAUAAUGCAUGCAAAACAUCUAGUAUAUAGUAAACUAACUCUUAUGUAAAUAUUAGCUAUUAUUUUAUUACAUAUAAAUAAAAAGGGCUAAGACAAUAUAAAUCUUGAUGUGUUCUCAAAUACAGCAUUUCUUUCUAAAAUGAUUUUUCUUCUGAAUGUCUGCUAAAAUUUCUGGAUUUCCUAUUGAAAUUCUCAGUUAAUCUACUGAAACAAUCUCAUUCAUGUACUGAAAGGACCCUUCCUCCAUACCACUGAUCCAGGAGAAACAGUCUGUAUCAAUUACCACUCUGUUCCUUCCAUGCCUGCACUUUGACCCUGGCAUGGCGUCUUGAUUUUUCCUUAGCAGGAACAAUAACAGCUUUGGUAUUCUGGUGUGAAUUAUUUAUAUGCUUGCUUCUAGUUUGGUUCCUCCAGCUUUUGUCCCACUCUCAGUGAAAAGAUCUAGUUGCAGACCUCAGAUCCCACAAAUUGAGAACAAUUUUCCUGUAAUUAUCUGUGUAUAGGGUGAUCUGGUUAUACUAUAAUGCUCAUGAUCUUAAAGGUUUCUGUGGCAAACAAAAUAUUGAGACUCUAUCUUUUGAAAAGUGGGAAAUAAUUUAAGAUGCUUUCACAGAGGAAUGAAACAGCUUUAACAAAUUCAGAUGAGUUGAAUGGACUAGAAGCAGGACUGCCCCAUAGAACGCUGUUUUAAUAGUCCAAAGUAUAAAUUUAGGAGAAUGACAACUAGAAAUAGAAAGGAUGUGAACAUCAAAAGAAUUUUCAAAUAUCUUUGAUGGAGUCAUGAUUUUGAAAAAAUACCUUCCAGUGUCACCUUUAUUCCAUAGUCAGUAA